UACGUAGGUGGCGAGCGUUGUCCGGAAUUACUGGGCGUAAAGGGUGCGUAGGCGGUGCUUCAAGUCAGAUGUGAAAACCCGGGGCUUAACUUCGGGAUGGCAUUUGAAACUGGAGUGCUGGAGCGCAGGAGAGGGAAGCGGAAUUCCUAGUGUAGCGGUGAAAUGCGUAGAUAUUAGGAAGAACACCAGUGGCGAAGGCGGCUUUCUGGACUGUAACUGACGCUGAGGCACGAAAGCGUGGGGAGCAAACAGG
rnacentral:rRNA from 1 species